rnacentral:rRNA from 1 species
UAUGUGAUCGUCUCUCGCAUAUCAAUAAGCGGAGGAAAAGAAACUAACAAGGAUUCCCCUAGUAACGGCGAGUGAAGCGGGAAGAGCUCAAAUUUGAAAUCUUAAAGGGUUUCCCUUUACGAAUUGUAGUUUAAAGAAGUGUUUUCUGUUGAGGUUUUGGUAAAAGUUCUUUGGAAUAGGACAUCAUAGAGGGUGAGAAUCCCGUAUUUGACCUUUACUUUCAACUUUGUGAUACACUUUCAAAGAGUCGGAUUGUUUGGGAAUGCAGUCCAAAAUGGGUGGUAAAUUUCAUCUAAAGCUAAAUAUUGGCGAGAGACCGAUAGCGAACAAGUACCGUGAGGGAAAGAUGAAAAGAACUUUGAAAAGAGAGUUAAACAGUACGUGAAAUUGUCAAAAGGGAAGCGUUUGACACCAGUGUUGUUUUUCUGAAAAUCAAUUAAAGAACUGUUUAUGCUAAGCUGUUUAGACUUUAUCAGCUAAUCUGUUUAGUUUUGAGCUUUUCUUUAAUGCACUUUUCAGUUAACAAGUCAACAUUCAAUUUCUUUUGCUGUAAAAAAGCUUGAGGAAGGUGGCUUGAGAUUCGUCUUAAGUGUUUAUAGCCUCUUGCCUAUGCAGUCGGAGAGAUUGAGGUCUGCAGCGUAGAUCCUUCGGGGCUAAAUGCAUUUGUGCUAAGUUAUAGCAUUUUAUAGACAACUUGUUGACUAUGAUUUGUCUUGUAGCUUACUCGCUUAUGUUAUUUUACCUACGCUUAGGAUGUUGAUAUGCAUGACUGAUA